rnacentral:rRNA from 1 species
UACAGAGGUGGCAAGCGUUGUUCGGAAUUACUGGGCGUAAAGGGCGCGUAGGCGGUUCGUUAAGUCCUGUGUGAAAUCCCCCGGCUCAACUGGGGAACUGCACAGGAAACUAGCGGGCUUGAGUUCGGGAGAGGGAAGCGGAAUUCCGGGUGUAGCGGUGAAAUGCGCAGAUAUCAGGAGGAACACCUGUGGCGAAGGCGGCCAGCUGGGCCGACCCUGACGCUGAGGCGCGAAGGCGUGGGGAGCGAACGGG